UGCAAUUCUGUAAAAAAAGAAUUAAAAGUUAAGAAAUCUGAGCUAUUUGUUGAUUGCAGUCCUAUAAAAAAGAAUCAACUGGAAAGCACUGUUGCUGUUGAAAUUGGAGGAAUAACCAUAACUGAAGACUUUUUAAACCUUAUUCUUGAUACAGAUAGGUGUCUAAACAGCAACCACAUUAAUGUAUACAUGAUUGCACUGCAAAAGCAACUGAAACAUCAAGAUAUUCACAUGGUAGACUGUGGUUGGUUUAGUCAAAAGCUGUUGGUUCAUUGUAAUACCCAUCAACCAAGAUGGACAAUUCAUAUACCAGAAAGUAAAAAUAAGAGAUGGUGGGAUUAUAGAUAUGUAGUUAUUCCAUUAAAUGAAAAUAACAACCAUUGAACUGUAGUAAUGAUGGACACAUUACAUAAUAUAUUAUAUUAUUGUGACUCAUUUGGGCGAAGAAAUGACUUGGUUAUUUUUCAGAUAACCAGAUACUUGAUGUUUGAACACGCAAUGUGCUUUGGAAAGCCCUUAAAUGUUAAAGCUUGGUCUUUGGUUAUUUACUCAGAAAUGCCCGGUUUCAGUCGACAGACAGAUUCAAGUAGUUGUGGGGUGUAUGUUUGCGCAAUGGCAAAAGCGAUUUUAACAAACAAAUGUGUUCCUAAAUGCCCUAACCUGCAUUUCUACAGAAGGCAGAUAGUUCGAGAAAUACUGCAAUACAAGUGAGAUGAAUAUUUAUGAAGUUAUGUCGGGCAUGAAUAAUUUUCAAUUUUUUUUUUUUUUUUUUAUUACUAGCAUUAAUUUUGUUUAGUAUUACUUUAAUUCAAUGUUUAAUUAUAAUUUAUAUUGAUGUUUAUCAUGUUGCAGAAGUGGGUUGGUGUUUCAUUUCAUUGACACAAAUCAUUCUGAACAAUCUCACUUAGUAAUGCAUGAAUCGUACUUACUUACAUUAUAAAUUUAAAGGGGUUUUUUUGGGUUUUUUUUUUUCAUAUUUGGAGAUGGCUAAAGAUGGGUUGUGAGUCUAGCUGGGUUACAGCGACCCCAAGAUGAUCAACCUCUUGAUAAAUAACGUGUAAAAUAUGAUGUAGUUUGGGCAUGUUGGAAGAGUUAAAGAAAUUUAAUUGUGAAGUUACAUAAAUGGAUUAUUGUACAUCUUCAAAACUGUGCAACUGAAUACAUACUGGUAUCCUUCUUUUUAAUUACAAAUAUAUACAGUGAUAUAAAUUUUGUUCAACACUUUUAAAUUUAACUAUGGCAGAAAGAAAAUUAGCCAAAUUUAUUGCAGAACAUCAGGUUAAUAUUCCUUCAGUAGAUCCCAGCUGUUUUGCUGUUUUAUUAGCUGACAGCAGGGGAAUAUAUUUGAAAAAUGCACAUAAGGAAUUGCAAUUGCCUGUAGUGUUCCUUUGUGAAAAAGGUGCUCGUACAGCAGUACUUUUUAAUAUUUUGAAAGGCAGGUUGCCUAAAUUAAUUAAAGAGCAUGGCAAACCACCUGUUGUGUAUGUCUGGUCAGGUACCUGCGACAUUACCAAAAUCUUUUCUAAGAAAAGAUACAUUACAUUGAGAGAUGAAACCUCUCGAACAGUACAAGACAAUGUCAGCAUUUACAAGCAGUUAAUGGCCUUUGUCUUAAAUGUGGGUGGGAAAGUUAGGUUUGUCGGUACGACAUUCCACUCAGCUGUUGACUGGAAUGCAUCGAAAGUUAAUUUUUAAUCAUGGAUAGUACAUUUUUAAAAUCACUGAUCCAUGGCUAAGGGAUUUUUUUUUAUAACAUUCUAGAAGCCCUGAGUAUAUGUGAACAACAGUUUCACUAAUUGUUGUAUGGAUAAUUAAAUAAUUAAUUAUUAAAUGUAAUGGUUGAAAAUCUAGCUGGGUUACAGCGAUCCCAAGAUGACUGACCACAUUUUAUAAGUCAUUGGGAAUCUGGGUUUAACUACUUUCAGUUAAUACAUUAUCUUUCUGUCCGUCAAGGUGGCACUAGAAGAAGCGUCUUUCUUCUUGAAUGCAAAAUAAAACUUAGUAGUUAGAAAAACCUUUUUGUUCUCAUACCCUGACUGAUGACCAGUUAUGGUUUCAUGUAUAAAAAAUUACAUGAAAG
rnacentral:lncRNA from 1 species